CGCGGUUCCCUACUUUUGGCUCGCUUUUUUCCUUUGUCGCACACAUGUUCUCACCCAAACACGACUCCCCAAACCCUCUGUUCUUAAAAGGGUUUCACCACUGGAAGCAUCCUCCCGUCACCACUCCUCUUUGAACCCUGGAAGGAGACUUCUCUGAGACCCAGAGAGUGAAAAAGAGAGAGAUGAAAGGUGUUGGCGGUUUCAAUGCAGGAGCAGCCUCGUCGGGGUCGACGUCGGCGGCGGAGGUGGUUGAGAAGGACUACGUGGGGCUCUCGGAGGCAACCUCCUCGCACCCCGCCGCUGUGGAGGAGGCAGCGGAGGGGGGGAGGAGAGAGGAGGACGAAGAGGACCUGGAGCUGGGGUUGAGCCUGGGGACGAAGAAUGUCGCCGGCGGUGGUGGUGGCAAGGCGGCGGCGGCGGCACCGUGGGGGCAGUCUUGCAGGAUUCUGACCGCCAAUGACUUCCCUUCUCUGGUGUCCCGUCCUUCGCCUAAGUCGUCCUCCACAUCCUCCGUUUCCUCCUCCUCCGCUGCCUUAGGGGGUGGAGCGGGUGGCGGCGGCGUCGCUGGGACCAAGAGGGCCGCAGACUCCGUUGCUCCGGAAGUCGUUGGAUCCGGUCACCCUCCCAGUCAGGUAGUGGUGGGAUGGCCACCUAUAAGGGCAUUCAGGAUGAACAGCUUGUUUAACCAAUCGAAAGAUAAUGCCUCUGGGACUAAUGCCACCACCCACAAGAAGACCAACAGCAACAACACCAAUAUGAAGGAAGCCAACGGGAACGAUGACCAGGAUAACAAAGGGAGGACUGCUGGGUGCUCUCGUUUUGUUAAGGUGAACAUGGAUGGAGAUCCCAUUGGGAGGAAGGUGGAUCUCAAUGCUCAUCACUCUUAUGAAACCCUUGCACUCUCUCUGGAGCUCAUGUUUCACAAACCCACCAUGGCCCUCAGUACCUUCGUCCAUGGUGUGAAGGCCUCAAAGUUGUGGGAUGGCUCUUCUGAAUUUGCUCUUACCUAUGAAGACAAGGAUGGGGACUUGAUGCUGGUUGGAGAUGUCCCUUGGGGGUAGGCAUUCUUUCCAUUCCAUACUUAUCACAAAUGAGCUAAGGGAGCAUCACGAGCAAAUUGCUUAAUGGCAGGCUUCUUGCACUGGAUGUUGAAUGUUCUUGGACACUGUCAAGAGACUUAGAAUUAUGAGGACCGCCGAUGCCAGUGGGCUUGCUUCAAGGUUCCAAUCCUCCAAUAAAUCUUAUGAGUUAAUACGAGGCAAGCCUUGAGAGGAGAUGAAAGAACAAGUGCUGUUGACUAUAUCGAGAAAAAGAAAAGGUAGAAGAAUAGACAAAGACAAGAUCUUUUCCUUUUUGCUUUUCUCUUGGGUGAAGCCAGGAUCACAACUACCCAUUUGUUUGAUUUUGCCCUGCUAGAACCCCUUUCUUGGGUAAAGCACCCCUCUUGUUGGGUGGGUUGCAAGGUACACCAAUAUGUUUCCAAUCUCUCUGUAGCUCCAUGCAUAUGACCAGUAUAUGUGAAUGGUGCUUCCAAUAGUGUAAAUAUUGCCGUCUGUUUGCUUCAGGAUUUGAGGGAUAAGAUGAGCUUUAUCUGUUUCACAUAUCCUGGUGAAAUAGAUGAUUUUGAAUGUUUAGUGUUGUUUAUCGAAUUGCAAAAUUAUUUCAUUCGAGAGGCUAGCUUUCCAGUAUUUUGGCUCUGGUAAGAUGGCAUUUCUCUAUUGCU